rnacentral:tRNA from 1 species
GGACUGUUAGCUCAAUUGGCAGAGCAUCUGACUCUUAAUCAGAGGGUUACAGGUUCGAUUCCUGCACAGUCCACCA